AUGUAGUGUAUAAUUGGAUAUAAGUACAUUAAUAACUUCUUUUUGUACGACAUUUGAAAGAUGCUCUUUUAAGAGAUAAGGGAGGUUUUACUUUAUAUGGAUGGAAAUUAUUCACAGCAAUAAUAUGUUUUAUAAGAAAAGAUGGAUAAAUAUAUUGAAAAGAACACUUGGUGGAAGAUAUAUUUUCAUUUAUUAUGCCUGGC
rnacentral:lncRNA from 1 species